AUGCAUCCCAGUAAAGGCAGACUGGGUGCAGGUGAGAGCAUCCUGUGUGUGCUCACCUUGAACACACCUGGCUGGACUGUCCUCUACCAGCUGGACCUCAUCUGUCAGAUCACCAUGGAGACGGAGCUGGCAGAGUACCGGGAGUCGGUGCGUCGUGUGGAGGAGGAGAGGGAGCGGCAGCAGCAGGAGUUCACCAUCACGGAGAGGGACCUCGGAGCAGGAGGAGGCCAGGCUACACAGGUGCUUUAGAGGCUACAUGGACAUGGAGGGGGUUCUCAGAUUGAGUCAUAGUGUUCGAUUGGUCCAGCCCCAAAUGCUUAAAGGACAAUAGCAGUCUGUGUGAUCAAACCAUCAUGAUGGUGUCUCUUGGCUUGACUUAAACACACUUCACCGUCAUCAUCGUGGGUCAAAAACUAUUCCUAGUGGCGAUUCUGGCCGACAGCCGGCCAAGACUGGUAACCAUGGCAACAGAGCACUUGCACUUGUGUAGGAAUCAGUGUGCGCAAGUCAGUUAGGACUUUGUGGACCACAUAACAGCCAAUCGCUGUUACAACUUCACACACUGUCUAAUUACAAGGGCUAUAUUGUCUACAUUUGUGGCAGGAGCAUUGAGGCAAGAUGCUCAGAGGCAGAAUCUGCACAACAAAGUGAUUUUGACCGAAUUGAUGUUUCAUUAAAGCCCCGAUGAACGGUUUCUAAGAAUGCCACACAUGUGUUCUCCUGUCAAUACCUAAUUAACGAAAAUGUAAGCAAUACUUAAAGAUUCCCCCUCCCCCGAUCCAUCCCCACUCUUUAGUUGUAAUGCUCCCCCUGAUGUUUCCCUUCAUUGGGGCCCUCUGCCACUCCCUAGUCUCAGUGUCCCGUGUCCUCUAGGGGCCCCGCUCCGCUCCGGUCCAGGUCCCGCUCCCGCUCAGGAGAUACCAGGUGACUGAUCCUGUUCUACUCUCCCUUGAUCCUGGUCCAACUCUGGACUCAAAUGCACAUCGUUUUAAAAAACAGAGGAAGGCUGUAAAUGUGGCUCAGUUUGCCCUCUAGGGGUUAAACGAAGGCUUGCAUGAGCUACUUGUAAAAGGCCGUUAAGGGGACCAGAGAAUGUCGUACAAAGAUUAAAUAUUCAAAUAUAAAAUUUUCAAAUAUUCUGCCCCCUCCCCCCCGGUGGCCCCAGACCCUCCCUCCUCUCC
rnacentral:lncRNA from 1 species